AGAGAAGCGUGGGCUUGAUGCAACGUGUUUGUUAUGUCAUGAGGCAUAUAAAUAUCGGAAGCGGUCGUCAGAGCUGGUCUUUAUGCUUCGUGUGUCGAGGCAGGUUGACCAGUGGUCUGUUAAUGAUCUAUCAUGGAAUUACGAGCAGCUUUUGUCAACGCUUCAGUAUCCACUCAUGGGAUACGUUCCAACUUCAUAAUGCAGCCACUGAGGGGUGUUCAGGGAGCAAAACAAUGUGCCAGUUUCACAGGCAACAACCAUAUGCCUAUUCAUACACAGCAAGAAACUGAUGGUAAAUAAUAAUUCUUUUUGAAAAAAAAAAAGGUAAAAGGGGAAGAAAACGGACUAAUGUGCUUAAUGCCAGCCUCAAUGACAUGUAGUGAAUUUUCAGUUUGUAAGAACUAUGAAAGACAUGAGAACUAAUAGUUCUGGAAAAGUUACUAGCUAAAACAAACAUGCACAGUACAUUGUUCACGUCGCUGGAUCAUCUGGACACAGCAAACAUGAUCUAUCAUGCUUAGGAAUGUAUAAUUUAUAGACUCUUCACUAAAAAAUCAAAUUUGGCAUUCUGCUGUUUGAUCAGUUCUAUGUUGUGCAUUUAGAUUUUAAGUGAACCUUGUUUCAAAACUACAUUGUAAUACUGUGUAUAAUAGCAGUCUAAGCUCUGGGUGGAAGGGGGAAAUCUCUGUAUACAGCUUGGGUUGUCUGCUGGAUAAGGAGUUUUUGAACAAAAAGUUGGAAGUAUAUAUUGGCACAGGAUAUUCUAAAAAAGCCUAUAUGGGCCCAACUUGGAUAGCUUUGGAUGUACACCUUGGAAGUAGUACUGUGGAGAAACCUUUCACAUAUGUGAUGUGGAGAUGUGUUAAGAAUCUUCUACAUUAGUGUAAGGUUCAAAUCUAUUAAAGAAAACAAAUGAGUAAAAUGUUUUUGAGUUAAAUUGUGGAGUUAUGCAAUAACUAUGAUAGUAUUGCACUUGGCCCCAUGUGGCUAUUACAGAAAACACACUGUGAUAUUACAGUAAAAAGUCAAAUGGUGACUAAGGAAAACAUAUUGCGCUGUGGAAGAUUUAGACGUGUGUGUGUGUGUGUGUGUGUGUGUGUGUGUGUGUGACUAUAGUGCCUUUACUUCCAGGUGCAAUUUUGUGGUAGACUAACAGAACUGUGGGCUGGGGAACAUCAUUUAGAAACACAAACCCGACAAUCAAGGCCUACAUCCAGCAAUCUCAAAAGUAUCGCUAUUCUGGGAUAAAUGUCUACCGGCGACACAUUGACAGGCACUUCUGUUUGAUUAUAUUAUUUGCACACGGUCACUUUUGAAAUGUGUAUGACUAAACAUGUCACCUAAAUAAAUGUUUGUGUAAUUUGUGAUAUUAUGGUGUAGUAUGCUUUCUGUAACUGCCCUAUUCUAAACACCUUAUUUCAGCAUCAAUUAAAGAAAAUGUGUGGAAUAUGUACAAGCCCAAUUAGUAAUAUCAGAGGUCUGUGUAGCAGAAUCAUUUGACUGUCUUCAUCUGCUGUAAAAGUUUUAAAAUAUAGUUCCUUAUUUCAUCAAAGUAUCACUAAAUGGCUGCAUAACAGUGUCUAGGUAUCUUGGGAAGACAUUGGGCUUGUUUGACGAGUUGGGUUCAAAUCUGCAUACAGUAAUUUAUUUCCUUUGGUUUUUCUAAGGUAAAUGAUGUGAUAGUUAAUUUUAAUAGGACACAGCAACUUUCUUUGAUCUUUGUUUAGUCAUAUCCUCUUCUUUGACAUUGUCAGAAUGUUAAAUCCCAGUACUAGGAUGAAAAAUACUAAGAUUUCAUGUUUCACUUUUGAGACUUUCUGGCACAUUAAAACUGUGUACUGGACUGGGACCUGCUGUUGUUUUUCUAUUUGUCAUUAAAUUAAUAUUGAUUGUUGGCCAUCACCCUUCUCAGUGCAUUUCUGCACUUGGUUUACAUGCUUGCAUUGCAAGCUACUGAUGUGCACUACUAUGAACUGGAAUGUGGCUAUACAUAGUGAAAAGUCCCAUUACAGCUGAGACCUAGUUGGCUUUGUUGAAUAAUAUAUAUAGUCAGUGAAAUGAGAGUAGUAAUGAUAUGGGUUUCAUAAUUCUGCUGGAAUGUAUGAACAUGCCACUGUUCAAACUAAUGGCUAGUGGUUCUUAUGCAGUCUGUGGCUAGAGUGGCCAGCAUUUGCCCCAGUGAACCCAGGUUUCAUGCAUGUUCUAUUUGAAGUGUCUUGCAGGCCCCACUUAGUCUGAAAUGGAUAAUUUAGAAAGGGCCUGAAAAAGCAUAACAUAUUUAAAGAAUAAUGUAGCAAUGCAGUACUACUGCUGCAAUGGAGGUAAAAAAGUUAAAUAAAAUUAGUGUCAUUAUGGUGUGACAUCAGAUUUUUGUAUGCUUAACUUUUUGCUUUCAUGUUCAUUACUUAAUGAAAUUUUAUCCUACAAUGUAGGCUUUCACAGCCAUGGUUUACUUCAGUUAACUCUUGGGCUGAGGUGCUAUGGUAAAUAUGUAAAGCUAUUCCCAAUAUUUCAUCUCCGGCUCUAAGAAACAUCUCUGGUGGUAAAAUGGCAUAGUUAGCUGGAGGUGAAAUGUCACAAUAGUUUAUAGACCAUGGCCUCUCAGCUUAAAACUUUUAACUGUAGUAAAUGAAUUUUGGUUAACUUUCUCAUUACUGAGAUAGUCAUCCUAGAUAGCUUUAAGGUGGCACCAGCAUAGUAAAAUGUGCAUCUGUUUAUGUGAAAGAGGCCAUUGCAACAAGUCUGAGCAGCAAGUUAAGAAGUUUCAUUUUGUGUUACUGGUCUGAGUUUUCGACUUGAACUUUAAUGAGUAACAUGUAAAGGGUCCGUGCCAUUGCAAUGGUUUUAAAAUGCCUAAGAGUGAACAUGUAAAAUUGUCAUCAGGAAAGUGAUAUUACUGGUAAAUUCUGAGUAGUACAUUUGAAUUUAUGCAGAUACUUCAACAACAUUGUUAUAAAAAUUAUUUUGGGUGUUGCUCCUCUGGUGUAAUGUACUAACAAUUUCAAUGAUUUGUAAUUGAAGAGCUGAUUGCAAUGUAUUAUGCAGAGUGUGUGUGUGUGUGUGUGUGUGUGUGUGUGUGUGUGUGUGUGUGUGUGUUGAAAUGUAUAUUCAGAUGUUUUUCUGUGCAGAAGUUGUAGUGAGAGAGUUAUCCUUUAUAAGGAAUGUUUAACUGUGUUCCAGUAUUUGUGGUGUUUGUCCAGGAAGUUGACUGGAAAUUUAAUCCUGAAAAUAGAUUUAAGGUAUUUUUCUUGUUACAGUCACAUUAAAGUAAGUUAAUUUUGUGAUGUGACCAGGUAUCCAGUGCAGUAUUUGUGGAGCAUAAUUUUGUAGUAAACAUUCCAUUGGUUCGCAUGCUUCCUAGUUACUAAAAGUUUGGCACAAUGUAUAUGAACAUGUUAAAAUAAACUGAAAUGUUAGGUUCUCUCUGUUAGUGGAUUUGGCUCUUUAUUUUAACACCAAGUUGUUGGAGUUGGUGCAUAACUCUUUAAACAUGUGAAAACUUACCCUUGGUCUGUAAAUUUCAGUAUUUAUCUUGCAAUUACAAAAAAAAUGUGAUGGAAUUUCAUAGUAAAGCAUGACUUUGGCAGAUUUAUGUAAUAUAGAAUGUCCUGUAACAUUGAUGCCAGUAUUCAGGUUCCAGUGAGUACAAAUGAACUUAGCUGUCUGUAAAUGAAACACAGCUUAACAUUUCUUAUUUUGUAAAUUCUAGUUUACAAAAAUGUAUAUUUAAAAAACUCAUGGUGAAAACUUCAGUACAAGCAAGAUGACAGUGAAUUAAAAUUUAGAGCAUUGUUGAGCCUAUAGAAUUUAUCUGGUUACCUUCCAACUUAUAUUGGAGAUGGUUAUUUGUAUUACAUUUUGUAAUUUUUCCUAUCAUUGUAUAGUUUUAUUUACUGUAAGCUAGAGGCCACAACCUCUUCACAAUUGGUAGAUAUUGUAUGGUGCUGUACUGAACAUAAAAGCCAGCAUUUUUAUAGACAGUGUUGCACAGCUUCAGUGUGUUCAAAGAAAACUGCAAGAGCUGUUAUAAUAUUAGUCAAGCAAAAUUUUCGUCACAAAUUUUGAUUUUUAAUCAGUGACAUGACGGCUGCUUGUCUGAAAAUAGUUCUCUAAAUAUUCAUUAAGACAACUUUUAGUGCUUUAACUUAGUUCCUUAAACAUGGAUUGUGUGCACAUCUUCAAACAAAAUAGUUUUGGUUACUUAUUUUGAUCCAUUGGCUAAGUGUUAUGCAAAAAAUAUUGUCAAGAGUAUGAAAGAGCUGUUCAGAGGUUAAAAUAGUGCAUUUUCAACAUUUUACAGUUGAUGAUGCACAGAAUUAUCUACCGAAAUUACUGACUGGCUUAAAUGUUAUGCAUAUUGUAAAGGUUGUGGUCAUAAAUUUUCAACCUAAUUUGUUGGAAACUGAAAUGGUGCCUGCACCCUAUUUGUCUGCCCUUGAUAUUUUUAAUGAAUAUGUACAUUUUUUGAAUCAUGUUGUGUGAUUUUUAAAUUGUGUAAUAAACUAAUUGAUCAUU